rnacentral:rRNA from 1 species
UGGGGAAUUUUGGACAAUGGGCGAAAGCCUGAUCCAGCAAUGCCGCGUGUGUGAAGAAGGCCUUCGGGUUGUAAAGCACUUUUGUCCGGAAAGAAAUCCUUGGCUCUAAUACAGUCGGGGGAUGACGGUACCGGAAGAAUAAGCACCGGCUAACUACGUGCCAGCAGCCGCGGUAAUACGUAGGGUGCAAGCGUUAAUCGGAAUUACUGGGCGUAAAGCGUGCGCAGGCGGUUUGCUAAGACCGAUGUGAAAUCCCCGGGCUCAACCUGGGAACUGCAUUGGUGACUGGCAGGCUAGAGUAUGGCAGAGGGGGGUAGAAUUCCACGUGUAGCAGUGAAAUGCGUAGAGAUGUGGAGGAAUACCGAUGGCGAAGGCAGCCCCCUGGGCCAAUACUGACGCUCAUGCACGAAAGCGUGGGGAGCAAACAGGAUUAGAUACCCUGGUAGUCCACGCCCUAAACGAUGUCAACUAGUUGUUGGGGAUUCAUUUCCUUAGUAACGUAGCUAACGCGUGAAGUUGACCGCCUGGGGAGUACGGUCGCAAGAUUAAAACUUAAAUGAAUUGACGGGGUCAUAGCUGUUUCCUA